UACGGAGGGUGCAAACGUUGCUCGGAAUCACUGGGCGUAAAGCGCACGUAGGCGGCCUUGCAAGUUGGAUGUGAAAGCCCUGGGCUCAACCCAGGAAGUGCAUCCAAAACUGCUUGGCUUGAGUACCGGAGGGGUUCAGAGAAUUCCCGGUGUAGAGGUGAAAUUCGUAGAUAUCGGGAGGAAUACCAGUGGCGAAGGCGCUGAACUGGACGGUAACUGACGCUGAGGUGCGAAAGCGUGGGUAUCAAACAGG
rnacentral:rRNA from 1 species